UUUGGAGGGGGGAAAAUUGAAAUUUUGAGGGGGUAAACAGAAAUUUUGGCGGAAAAAAAGGGUGUUUUGGAGGCAAAACUCCAUUAAUUUGAAUCACAACUUUCCCAUGAUUUUUCCAUGAUUUCCAGUUGGAAGGAGGUGUGGCAUUCAUCUGAACAUUCUGGAAGCUGGAAGAGGACCAGGCAAUCUACCUUCCCAAAAAUCUGGACCAGCUCAUCCACAAUUCCACCUUUCCCCACUCCCUGGAUUCCCAGGUCUGGAAAUUCUUCUACAACCUCCCAGGAUUUCCCAUUCUCAAACCUUGGCUGAACGGAGAAGGAGGCUGUGAGGAAGAGGAAGAUGCCCCAGGACACCCAGGCAGACAAGGAGCUGAGGAUGGAGACCAGGGAGGACAAAU